rnacentral:rRNA from 1 species
AUGUGGUUUAAUUCGAAGCAACGCGAAGAACCUUACCCGGGUUUGAAAUGUACGGAUUAGGAUGCUGAAAGGUGUCUGACGCCGCAAGGUGGAACGUACACAGGUGUUGCAUGGCUGUCGUCAGCUCGUGUCGUGAGAUGUCGGGUUAAGUCCCUUAACGAGCGAAACCCUUAUCCUUAGUUGCCAGCGGGUAAAGCCGGGGACUCUAGGGAGACUGCCGUUGUUAAAACGGAGGAAGGUGGGGAUGACGUCAAGUCAUCAUGGCCUUUAUGUCCGGGGCUACACACGUGCCACAAUGGCCGGUACAAAGGGACGCUAAGCCGAGAGGUAGAGCAAAUCCCAGAAAGCCGGUCCCAGUUCGGAUUGGGGGCUGCAAUUCGCCCCCAUGAAGUCGGAAUCGCUAGUAAUCGCGGAUCAGCUACGCCGCGGUGAAUAUGUUCCUGAGCCUUGUACACACCGCCCGUCAAGCCACGGAAGUUGACAGUACCCGAAGUCGUGAACCCAACCGCAAGGAGGGAAGCGCCCACGGUAAGGUCGAUGACUGGGACUAAGUCGUAACAAGGUAGCCGUAGGGGAACCUGUGGCUGGAUCACCUCCUU